CCUACGGGUGGCAGCAGUGGGGAAUAUUGGGCAAUGGGCGCAAGCCUGACCCAGCAACGCCGCGUGAAGGAAGAAGGCCCUCGGGUUGUAAACUUCUUUUAUCAAGGACGAAACAAAUGACGGUACUUGAUGAAUAAGCCACGGCUAACUACGUGCCAGCAGCCGCGGUAAUACGUAGGUGGCAAGCGUUAUCCGGAUUUACUGGGUGUAAAGGGCGUGUAGGCGGCUGUGCAAGUCUGAAGUGAAAGCCCGUGGCUCAACCGCGGAACUGCUUUGGAAACUGUAUAGCUUGAGUACUGGAGAGGCAGGCGGAAUUCCUAGUGUAGCGGUGAAAUGCGUAGAUAUUAGGAGGAACACCAGUGGCGAAGGCGGCCUGCUGGACAGAAACUGACGUUGAGGCUCGAAAGCGUGGGGAGCAAACAGGAUUAGAUACCCUUGUAGUC
rnacentral:rRNA from 1 species